rnacentral:rRNA from 1 species
CAAGUCGAACGCGGUUUCCCCGCAAGGGGGAACUGAGUGGCGAACGGGUGAGUAACACGUGGGUGACCUACCUUCGAGUGGGGGAUAACGUCCCGAAAGGGACGCUAAUACCGCAUAACAUCCUGUCCUUGAAUGGAUGGAGAUCAAAGCCGGGGAUCGCAAGACCCGGCGCUUGAUGAGGGGCCCGCGUCUGAUUAGCUAAUUGGUGAGGUAAUGGCUCACCAAGGCAACGAUCAGUAGCCGGCCUGAGAGGGCGGACGGCCACACUGGGACUGAGACACGGCCCAGACUCCUACGGGAGGCAGCAGUGGGGAAUUGUUCACAAUGGGCGCAAGCCUGAUGACGCAACGCCGCGUGGAGGAUGAAGGUCUUCGGAUUGUAAACUCCUGUUGCCAGGGACGAAUGGCCACGACCUAAUACGUCGUGGUGUGACGGUACCUGGUGAGGAAGCCCCGGCUAACUCUGUGCCAGCAGCCGCGGUAAUACAGAGGGGGCAAGCGUUGUUCGGAAUUACUGGGCGUAAAGGGCGCGUAGGCGGCCUGUUAAGUCGAACGUGAAAUCCCCGGGCUCAACCCGGGAACUGCGUCCGAUACUGGCAGGCUUGAAUCCGGGAGAGGGAUGCGGAAUUCCAGGUGUAGCGGUGAAAUGCGUAGAUAUCUGGAGGAACACCGGUGGCGAAGGCGGCAUCCUGGACCGGCAUUGACGCUGAGGCGCGAAAGCCAGGGGAGCAAACGGGAUUAGAUACCCCGGUAGUCCUGGCCCUAAACGAUGAAUGCUUGGUGUGGCGGGUAUCGAUCCCUGCCGUGCCGAA